UCGUCUCUGUGUUUUUUGCUGAUGAUAUGCCAAAAUCAGUGAUUGUCAAACGGGACGCAAAUAAAAUUCUUAAGUCUCGUUAUAGUCUUCAUUUAGCUUUUACGGCAAGUAGACUUCUCCAUACUUUAGAAACAAAU